GGAGUAUGGACCGUGUCUCAGUUCCAUUGUGGGGGACCUUCCCCUCAGAACCCCUACCCAUCGUCGCCUCGGUGGGCCGUUACCCCCCGACUAGCUAAUGGGACGCGAGCCAAUCCGUGACCACCGGAAUUUUUAAUGAAGAACCAUGCGAUCCUCCAUCGUAUGGGGGGUUAGGCGACGUUUCCAUCGGUUAUCCCCCGGUCACGGGCAUGUCGCUCACGCGUUACGCACCCUUGCGCCGGUCGCCGCCAAAUGUAUUACUACAUCCGCGCUGCCCCUCGACUUGCAUGUGUUAAGCCUGCCGCUAGCGUUCAUC
rnacentral:rRNA from 1 species